GGACUACUGGGGUUUCUAAUCCUGUUUGCUCCCCACGCUUUCGCGCAUCAGCGUCAAUACCGGUCCAGUUGGCCGCCUUCGCCACCGGUGUUCUUCCCAAUCUCUACGAAUUUCACCUCUACACUGGGAAUUCCACCAACCUCUCCCGGAUUCAAGCGCACCAGUAUCAAAUGCAGUUCCCAGGUUGAGCCCGGGGCUUUCACAUCUGACUUAGAGCACCGCCUACGCGCCCUUUACGCCCAGUAAUUCCGAACAACGCUUGCCCCCUUCGUAUUACCGCGGCUGCUGGCAC
rnacentral:rRNA from 1 species